CUCCUGUGUCAUCAUCCAGUAUUUAUGCUGCAGUAGUUUUUGUGUCGGGGGGCUAGGAGGACCUGAGCCCUAGGACCAUGCCUCGGGACUACCUGGCAUGAUGACUCCUUGCUGUCCCCAGUCCACCUGGCCGUGCUGCUGCUCCAGUUUCACCUGUUCUGCCUGCGGCUAUGGAACCCUGACCUGUUCACCGGACAUGCUACCUGUCCCAGACCUGCUGUUUUCAACUCUCUAGAGACAGCAGGAGCGGUAGAGAACUCUCAAUGAUCGGCUAUGAAAAGCCAAAUGACAUUUACUCUUGAGGUUCUGGGACGGCGGAUCAUAAUUAGUCAUGCAGCUAAUUUCCCACAAUGCCCUGCAGCCCUGGUCUCCAGCGGCACGCUCAUACAUAUUCAACAGUAUGCUAAUGAGCACCACUGCACCCAGGUGAGAUGCUGCCACGGAGAAGGCCAAUCAGAACACGGACACGCUGACCAAUCAAAUGACAGAACUGAAACAGUGACCAAUCAGAUUCUAGAACACAG
rnacentral:lncRNA from 1 species